GGAAGGGCUUCCCUCCUCAUGCCCAUGACCGUGGCCUCUUCUUUUCUGUAACAGUAGUUCUAGUCUCAAGUUUAACAAAUAUUCUCUGAAAAUAUCUGGAAGAUUUCAGGGAAAAUAACUUCUAUUUUCUGAACACAUAUACACAUCAGUGGACCUCAUCUAUAAAUUAAUUUAUACCGUGGACUUGAAAUGCAUCCUUUGUUACCCUCUUUCUUUUCACAUGAAUCCUUUUCAUGCAUGCUAAGGAUGGGUGCGUUUGUGAAAGGUAAUAAAGACUGAUGUAUAGAUACCUGUUUGAUGACUGUAUUUUUACAUGGACAAUUAGCAAGCACUUCUUUCACAUAAGAUAGAUAUGUAGAUACUUUUUUAAACUUUAUUUUCAUUUCAGGGAUACACUAUAUGUGAACACUUUGUAUUAUUCUUUCAUAAACUUCUAGAUUCAACUAAUCCUGUUUUAUAAGGAUGUUUGUAUCUAUUUUGAUUCUUAAAAGUAACUUCAAGUGGUCUAGUGCUGACAUUGCCCAAUUUUGAUUUUUAUCCUUGGAUGACAUUAGCAGUUUUCUUUAUUUUAAUUUAUUUUAUUUUUUGCAGCUUCCAAAAUCUGGUAAUUAUCUACCAUUCCAAAUAUGUGAUAGAAAUAGAGUGCCCAACAAUAAGAAUGUCCUAUCAUUAUACUGCAUUUCAAAGUCACAGUAAUUUACUAUGUGUGAUCACAUGUGAAUAAUGCAAAGUAGGUUUUGUUUAUUUUAACUUGAUUUUAAUUUUGGAGUUGCCUUAAUUUUUCUUUUUGUGUGUGUGUGGGGGGGGGGGGCGUUACUGAGGUACUGAAACAACAUUUGUCUUUUUCUUGCUCUGCCAUGAUCCCCACACAGCUCAUGAGAUGGGCAGGGCCUCCCCAGAUGUCAGUCAGGGCCUUGCAGGUGCUAGAAAAGGUGUUUUUAAAAAGGGAAUAUUUCACCUUGUUCAGCUAUAAAAUAAAUACAUUCCAUAUCUAAGAAAAACCUGGGCCUCAAUGCAGUAAGCAGGCAAUCUGCUGACAGCAGACAUCAUGAAGCUAGACUCAACCUCCUGAAACCUGACCCCUUGCUUCAUUUGAAUGUCUUUUCUCUAGUAAAAGGGUUUAGCAUGUGCUCUGUCUCUGUUUAUUUUGUGCAACUCAGUUCACCUGGAGUGACCUUGAGUGUUUAGUUGAGAGAUGCAACAGAAUGAAAUUGCAUAAAUUAUGCUAUUUGCAUG
rnacentral:lncRNA from 1 species